rnacentral:rRNA from 1 species
GAUGAACGCUGGCGGUGUGCCUAAUACAUGCAAGUCGAGCGAACAGCCGCUGAGCUUACUCCUCUGACGUUAGCGGCUGACGGGUGAGUAACACGUGGAUAACCUACCUAUAAGACUGUGAUAACUUCGGGUAACCGACGCUAAUUCCUGAUAACUUGUUGAACCGCAUGGUUCAUCAGUUAAGGACGGUCUUGCUGUCACUUAUCUAUGAAUCCGCGUCGCAUUAGCUAGUUGGUAAGGUAACGGCUUACCAAGGCAACGAUGCGUAGCCGACCUGAGAGGGUGAUCGGCCACACUGGAACUGAGACACGGCCCAAACUCCUACGGGAGGCAGCAGUAGGGAAUCUUCCGCAAUGGGCGAAAGCCUGACGGAGCAACGCCGCGUGAGUGAAGAAGGUCUUCGGAUCGUAAAACUCUGUUAUUAGGGAAGAACAAAUGAGAAAGUAACUAUGAACGGCGUGACGGUACCUAAUCAGAAAGCCACGGCUAACUACGUG